rnacentral:rRNA from 1 species
UACGUAGGUGGCGAGCGUUGUCCGGAUUUACUGGGCGUAAAGGGAGCGUAGGCGGACUUUUAAGUGAGAUGUGAAAUACUCGGGCUCAACUUGAGUGCUGCAUUUCAAACUGGAAGUCUAGAGUGCAGGAGAGGAGAAUGGAAUUCCUAGUGUAGCGGUGAAAUGCGUAGAGAUUAGGAAGAACACCAGUGGCGAAGGCGAUUCUCUGGUCUGUAACUGACGCUGAGGUUCGAAAGCGUGGGUAGCAAACAGG